AUGCCAUACUUCCUCCUCCUACUCGAUUUCACCCUACCUUUGCAGAGAAGUGCUUUGAUUUGUGUUAUGGGAGUCUGCUUCUUUGGAACAUUCUUACUUGAUGGAGUGCUUGAGCAUGCAAACCGAUGUCAGAGGCUUAAGCCACAGUGGUCACCAACUUUCUUCAAUAUCCUGCAAAGAAAUAAGUUGCUUCCUUAGAGGUGAAAGGAACUUCUUCAAUAGACUAAUUACAAAGCAAAAAGUGCUGGAUGCAGAAUAAGAAGACCUGGGUUCUAAUGAAUCUAGCACUUUCCUGUGUAAGCCUAAACAAGUCACUUAAUCUCAUCUGUAUAAUUAGGACAUUGCACUGAAUUGGGAUUCUUCACUUUUUUGUGUGUCAGUCUGUUGAAAACUAAGGACCUUUUCUCAAAAUAGUUGUUAAAUACAUAAAUUGAAAUUAAUGAAUUAAAAAGUAAACCAAUUAUAUUGAAAUAUAGUUAGCAAUUUAAAAAAUAGUAAUGAGCCCAGGUUAAGAACCCAUGGACUAAAAGAUCCCUAACAUUCCUUCCACAUCUAAAUAUAUGAUUAACAUGUAAAUACCCAAUGAAAUUACACUGCAGGAAGGAUGGGGGGAGGUGAGGGAGGGAAAUAAUAUAAUUCUUGUAACCAAGGAAUAAUGUUCUAAGU
rnacentral:lncRNA from 1 species